GAUGAACGCUGGCGGCGUGCCUAAUACAUGCAAGUCGAGCGAAUGGAUUAAGAGCUUGCUCUUAUGAAGUUAGCGGCGGACGGGUGAGUAACACGUGGGUAACCUGCCCAUAAGACUGGGAUAACUCCGGGAAACCGGGGCUAAUACCGGAUAACAUUUUGAACCGCAUGGUUCGAAAUUGAAAGGCGGCUUCGGCUGUCACUUAUGGAUGGACCCGCGUCGCAUUAGCUAGUUGGUGAGGUAACGGCUCGCCAAGGCAACGAUGCGUAGCCGACCUGAGAGGGUGAUCGGCCACACUGGGACUGAGACACGGCCCAGACUCCUACGGGAGGCAGCAGUAGGGAAUCUUCCGCAAUGGACGAAAGUCUGACGGAGCAACGCUGCGUGAGUGAUGAAGGCUUUCGGGUCGUAAAACUCUGUUGUUAGGGAAGAACAAGUGCUAGUUGAAUAAGCUGGCACCUUGACGGUACCAACCAGAAAGCCACGGCUAACUACGUGCCAGCAGCCGCGGUAA
rnacentral:rRNA from 1 species